rnacentral:pre_miRNA from 1 species
UGCCUGGCUCCCUGUAUGCCAUUUGCUUAGUCCAUUUAGUAUUAGAUGGCCUUUGUGGAUGGCGUGCGAGGAGCCAUGCAUA